GAUGAACGCUGGCGGCGUGCCUAAUACAUGCAAGUCGAGCGAAUGGAUUAAGAGCUUGCUCUUAUGAAGUUAGCGGCGGACGGGUGAGUAACACGUGGGUAACCUGCCCAUAAGACUGGGAUAACUCCGGGAAACCGGGGCUAAUACCGGAUAACAUUUUGAACCGCAUGGUUCGAAAUUGAAAGGCGGCUUCGGCUGUCACUUAUGGAUGGACCCGCGUCGCAUUAGCUAGUUGGUGAGGUAACGGCUCACCAAGGCAACGAUGCGUAGCCGACCUGAGAGGGGGGUCGGCCAGACUGGGACUGAGACACGGCCCAGACUCCUACGGGAGGCAGCAGUAGGGAAUCUUCCGCAAUGGACGAAAGUCUGACGGAGCAACGCCGCGUGAGUGAUGAAGGCUUUCGGGUCGUAAAACUCUGUUGCUAGGGAAGAACAAGUGCUAGUUGAAUAAGCUGGCACCUUGACGGUACCUAACCAGAAAGCCACGGCUAACUACGUGCCAGCCGCCGCGGUAA
rnacentral:rRNA from 1 species